rnacentral:rRNA from 1 species
AUUGAACGCUGGCGGCAGGCCUAACACAUGCAAGUCGAGCGGAUGACGGGAGCUUGCUCCUUGAUUCAGCGGCGGACGGGUGAGUAAUGCCUAGGAAUCUGCCUGGUAGUGGGGGACAACGUUUCGAAAGGAACGCUAAUACCGCAUACGUCCUACGGGAGAAAGCAGGGGACCUUCGGGCCUUGCGCUAUCAGAUGAGCCUAGGUCGGAUUAGCUAGUUGGUGGGGUAAUGGCUCACCAAGGCGACGAUCCGUAACUGGUCUGAGAGGAUGAUCAGUCACACUGGAACUGAGACACGGUCCAGACUCCUACGGGAGGCAGCAGUGGGGAAUAUUGGACAAUGGGCGAAAGCCUGAUCCAGCCAUGCCGCGUGUGUGAAGAAGGUCUUCGGAUUGUAAAGCACUUUAAGUUGGGAGGAAGGGCAGUAAGCUAAUACCUUGCUGUUUUGACGUUACUCGCAGAAUAAGCACCGGCUAACUCUGUGCCAGCAGCCGCUGUAA